rnacentral:rRNA from 1 species
AAUCAACGCUGGCGGCGUGCCUCAGACAUGCAAGUCGAACGAUUAAAGCUCUCUUCGGAGAGUGCAUAGAGUGGCGCACGGGUGAGUAACACGUAAGUAAUCUACCUUCGAGUGGGGAAUAACGUCCGGAAACGGACGCUAAUACCGCAUAAUGCAGCGGCAUCGCAAGAUGACAGUUGUUAAAGAAUUUAUUCGCUUGAAGAGGAGCUUGCGGCAGAUUAGCUAGUUGGUAAGGUAAUGGCUUACCAAGGCUACGAUCUGUAACCGGUCUAAGAGGACGGUCGGUCACACUGACACUGAAUAACGGGUCAGACUCCUACGGGAGGCAGCAGUCGGGAAUUUUGGGCAAUGGGCGAAAGCCUGACCCAGCAACGCCGCGUGAGGGAUGACGGCCUCGG